GGGGGGGGGGGGGGGGGGGGGUGGGGGAGGGGGGGGGAGGGAGCGGACGGGAGGCGGGCGUGUCUGAUGUUAGCGGGGGACGGGUGAGUAAGACGUGGGUAACCUACCUAUAGGACUGGGGUAGCGUCGGGAAACCGUGGCUAAUACCGGGUAAUGUUUUUAACCGCAUGGUUCAAGAGUGAAAGACGGUCGUGCUGUCCAUUAUGUCUGGAGCGGCGCGGCUUUCGCUAGUGGGUAAGGUAACGGCUUAACAAGACAACGAUGCAUAGCCGACCUGAGAGGGGGAUCGGCCAAACAGGAACUGAGACACGGUCCAGACUCCUACGGGAGGCAGCAGUAGGGAAUCUUCCGAAAUGGGCGAAAGCCUGACGGAGCAACGCCGCGUGAGUGAUGAAGGUCUUCGGAUCGUAAAACUCUGUUAUUAGGGAAGAACAUAUGUGUAAGUAACUGUGCACAUCUUGACGGUUCCUAAUCAGAAAGCCACGGCUAACUACGUG
rnacentral:rRNA from 1 species